rnacentral:rRNA from 1 species
UAGUCAUAUGCUUGUCUCAAAGACUAAGCCAUGCAUGUCUAAGUAUAAAUGAUAUACAGUGAAACUGCGAAUGGCUCAUUAAAACAGUUAUAGUUUAUUUGGUAAUCGAAUUUACAUGGAUAACCGUGGUAAUUCUAGAGCUAAUACAUGCUGUAAAGCCCGACUUCGCGGAAGGGCCGUAUUUAUUAGAUAACAGACCAAUAUUCCUCGUGUCUAUUGUGGUGAAUCAUAGUAACUAAUCGGAUCGCAUGGGCUAGUCCCGCGACAAACCAUUCAAGUUUCUGCCCCAUCAGCUUUCGAUGGUAGUGUAUUGGACUACCAUGGCUUUUACGGGUAACGGAGGAUUAGGGUUCGAUUCCGGAGAGGGAGCCUGAGAAACGGCUACCACAUCUAAGGAAGGCAGCAGGCGCGUAAAUUACCCAAUCCUAAUUCAGGGAGGUAGUGACAAGAAAUAACGGGUCGGGGCUCUGCCCCGGGACUGCAAUGAGAUGAAUUUACACCCCUUUUCGAGUAACAAUU